GGUGCCGUUCCUUUAGAGAAGACACAAGGAACCUCAUCUGCACAAAGGGUUAACCAGAAUGCCUUUCCCCUGCCAUGUGUCAGCGCUGGUUCCCUUGUAAGGACCAGACACACGUUCACCGAUGACACCCUCGGAUACUUCCAGAAAGUGGAACAUAAACAUGGUUAGGAAAUGUUAAAACAUGAAUACAUCUAGGAAAUGUACCUAACAGGUUUUAUCACAUGCUUCACUUUAUUCAUGUCAUCCAACACAAAUAACUGCACACCACUUAGAUAAAAUGUGACGAAAUACCAAUAUGAACAUUCCGUCCUCUUGAGAAUGUAACACCCUGUCAUGUGCAUUCAUAUAAUAAACGUGUGCCGAAGGUA